AGCGUUGCGCAGUGGCGGUACCAUAGGCAAUGAGGAAAUUCUGAGGUGUGGUUAUUGCUGGUUGAAAAGUAUUCCCAAUACCCCGCGCUGGCGAUUUGAUCGCCGGUCACUAUUUUUGGGUGCACCCACGGGAG